rnacentral:lncRNA from 1 species
GGAUUUAUGUUUACUUUGAAUUAGUAAUACUAAAACUAAAAAAUCUUUUGUUACUAUAAUAUUUUUAGUUUGUGGUUGCAUUUGUUUAUUUAGCCUGUGUUUGAGCCCCAUUAUUUGGUAAAGAAUGCAUUUUUGAAUAGUAGAUUAAUUAAAAAUGCGUGGUUAAAAAAUAAGGAAAAGUUAUGAAUUUUCGUGUAAUAUUAUUUUAUUGAAAAAUGUGUAGUUGAAAAGAAGAGAGUGAAAAAUGUAUUUUGAAAAUAAUAAGGGAUAAAACCAGGGCAAAAUUUUGGCUACAAUGACAUCGGUUCGACCCCGAUUGAACUUUUUUACCCUUGAUCCUUUAUCUUUUCCAGGUUGAUGCCUUAAUUGAUUUUCAAAAAAAAAAAAUUCCUCCAUUUCUAGGCACCCUAUUUUGAGCAUUUCAGCAUAUUUCUAGGUCGUUUUAGCAUGUUUCUUGGUUGUUCUGGUUGUUUCAACACAUUUUAAGCAAGUUCAGCACAUGCAGAUCAGAUGUAUUCAAAGCUGGUUAAGUUUUUUUUUUACCAAUUUAUACCUUUACAAUAUUGGUUUCUCAUUUUUUUAAUUCUUUAAUUUUGGCUAUUUUAUGCCGAUUUAGGCUAUCUGUUGAUUUUUUCAAGCAUAUUUCAAGUUUUAAUGUUCAUCGAUAAUCUUAUUUGUCAAUCGUCUUCUAAAACAAUUGUGCUUCCCUUUUUUCCCCAAUUACUAAAGGUCAAUAAGUCUUAUAUCCUCAAUUUCAAGUUUUAAUGUUCAUUGGUAAUCUUAUUUGUCAAUCGUCUUCUAAAACAAUUGUGCUUCCCUUUUUUCCCCAAUUACUAAAGGUCAAUAAGUCUUAUAUCCUCAAUUUCAAGUUUU